AAAACAAAAACUAGGCUUGUCUAGUUGACUUGCUCUCAAAGAUUAGUCUUGAUUCUCUUUUAGUCAUAGAGUUAUAGGUAUGUCUGUAUUGCGAAUGUUAAGAUCUCGCAGUUUGUAUGUUAGAUUAUGGUGUUUCAUAGCGAAACCUAUGUUAGAUUUAUCAUUAUAUUUUUGUUUCUAACAUCAUUUGCAAUACAUAUUUAACACAAUUCAACUAAUGUUAAAAUAAUUUGCAUAAUACAAAUGGUCAAAAAGGAUAAAGAAUAAUUAAUUUUACAUUAAAACAUCAUUUAAAUUGAAACAAAUUUUUUUCUCUUAAAACAUCUAAUAUAACAAAUAUGAGAUAUUAAAACUGUCGUUGAAGUGAAUCAAUGAUAAAUCAGUAGAUAAACUUCCGUCAAUUGUAACAUAUAUUUUUCACAAACAUUUCUAAUCUUGAGGCGGUAAUUAACAUUUGUUGAUUUUUUUGGGCGUAAAUUAACAAAUAUAGUUCAUAUAGAUAACAAAAUGUUUUAUUGGCAAUUGAUAAAUGUUUACGAUCAGUGGACAGGAGUCGAUUAACCUAGUCCAUAUCCUCAAAUAGAUCACGUAUGACUAGUACAAUUACACAAUUCUUGAAAACUACUACUAAAAUGUUUCAUAUUUUGAGCUAGAAAUGAAAAAGAGUAAUAAAUAUACAGUUUUUCGUAGUUUGUCUUUUGUUUACAAUUCCGAAACUUGAUUCAAAAUAUCCACAUCUCCUCUUUUUUUUUUUUUUGGCUCAACAUCAACUCAUUAUAUUUUCCAAUUCAAAUUACAAAUCGAUAGUCCUCAUACAAUGACCUCGACAGAAUUGGACCAAAUGCAAUGAAUGAGCCUAGUAGACCCUGGAACACUAAGUUGGAUCCAACGUUACCUGGCAUACAAUUCAUUGUAUUUUUUCAACCAAUGAGAUAGAAUCCACCCCACUACUCGGAGUGAAAUCAUCUCUUAAACCACUAAAAAAAGAUCCUAAUGACAUGAAAACAACUACUAACCCGGUUACCCGGAGAAGAUCAAAACCUAAACUGACUAACCAAGGAAUUCCAAACUAUUAGUCCCUCAUGAUUGGAGUGUAGCACUUGUCCCAAUAGCACUUACACACGAAGGCGCAUCAUCAGAAAAGUUUGGUUUCCCCGUCUUUCGUUGUUCCGGCCUUAAACCUAAAAACGGACAACAUGUCCGACUGACCCGGUCAAGAGACCCAAGAUAAGCUCAGCAGGACCAGCAACUUCUCUGAGAUUACCUAGUAAUACCAGAUACUAAUCGCCUAAUAAUAGGAGUGUAGAGCACUGAUUAGUAUUCUUCACCUCAUGGUGCAUUUCCAGAUUAGCCACAUCGCCUCCGUCUUGUUAUCUCGCUCCUAGACCGGACUGAACCAGAAGGUUGUAGAAGCUCUCGAACAAGCGGCUUUGAGGUCUACCUCAAUCUCGGCACCGACAAGCGCAGAUCUCCUCAACCACCGGUAAGACUCCAAGACCUAACUCGACUGCUUUGCUCCGGCUAGCUAGGGUCUCCAUAUAAAGAACAGGGGAAAACAGGAGAGCCAGACGGCGCUGCGACGAGCCCCAACCAGACUCCCGGAGAAGACAGCGAGCCGAGAUCUCGCUUCAUAGCAUUCACCGGAGAGAAGCUGCCGAGUUAUCUACUUACCUACAAUAAAAGAGAAAAAUAAAAGACAGAGGAAGAGGAACCCUCUCACACCGCCGGCAGAGCGCCUCGGGCGGCGGAGAGGAGACGGCGACAAGAUUUGGGGGGGCGGCGGCUAGAUCUAGGGUUUGACGAGAGAGCUCUUUUUAGGGAAUUUAAUUGUCGCAUUCGUUUUAUACACAUCUCCUCUUUGUUUUCGGAUGUAUAUAUAUAACAUCAUCCACGAUUUUCAAUAUAUUUUAAUUGGAGUAAUACAAUUCUAGUAUUCAUAUUUUUGGUUAUUUUAGUUUAUUUAUCUUUCACAUUAAUUUAGCAUGUUUUGGA
rnacentral:lncRNA from 1 species